GACGAACGCUGGCGGCGUGCUUAACACAUGCAAGUCGAACGGAAAGGCCCUGCUUUUGUGGGGUGCUCGAGUGGCGAACGGGUGAGUAACACGUGAGUAACCUGCCCUUGACUUUGGGAUAACUUCAGGAAACUGGGGCUAAUACCGGAUAGGAGCUCUUGCUGCAUGGUGGGGGUUGGAAAGUUUCGGCGGUUGGGGAUGGACUCGCGGCUUAUCAGCUUGUUGGUGGGGUAGUGGCUUACCAAGGCUUUGACGGGUAGCCGGCCUGAGAGGGUGACCGGCCACAUUGGGACUGAGAUACGGCCCAGACGCCUACGGGAGGCAGCGGUGGGGAGUAUUGCACAAUGGGCGGAAGCCUGAUGCAGCAACGCCGCGUGCGGGAAGACGGCCUUCGGGUUGUGAACCGCUGUCGCCUGUGACGAAGCGUGAGUGACGGUAAUGGGUAAAGAAGCACCGGCUAACUACGUG
rnacentral:rRNA from 1 species